rnacentral:rRNA from 1 species
CUUCAGGCCUAACACAUGCAAGUCGAACGGCAGCACAGGAGAGCUUGCUCUCUGGGUGGCGAGUGGCGGACGGGUGAGGAAUACAUCGGAAUCUACUUUUUCGUGGGGGAUAACGUAGGGAAACUUACGCUAAUACCGCAUACGACCUACGGGUGAAAGCAGGGGACCUUCGGGCCCUGCGCGGAUGAAUGAUCCGAUGUCGGAUUAACUAGUUGGCGAGGUAAAGGCCCACCAAGGCGACGACCCGUAGCUGGUCUGAGAGGAUGAUCAGCCACACUGGAACUGAGACACGGUUCAGACUCCUACGGGAGGCAUCAGUGGGGAAUAUUGGACAAUGGGAGCAAGCCUGAUCCAGCCAUACCGCGUGUGUGAAGAAGGCCUUCGGGUUGUAAACCCCUUUUGUUGGCAAAGAAAUUCCCAGGUUAAAACCCCGCUGUUCUGACGGUCCCCAAAAAUAUGCACCGUGCUAACUUCGUGCU